rnacentral:lncRNA from 1 species
GAUAACAUCGACCGAGCGUUUGCACGUGUCGUCCACUCGGGCACAGAAAUUUCUGCAAUCCAAAUAAGCCAGGUUGCUGCUGUGAACUUCUCAUCGUGUUAUUUUGAUUAAGCAUCAGGUGACCAAUCCCAACUCAAGGUAAAUAAAAUUAUUGAUGCUAUGCUGUCAGACAUAGGCGGCAGAACAUGAAUGAAUUGAGUACCUUCAUAAGUUUGACCCUCAUUCUUUCUACGAUAUCCUCUAGGAAAUGCUCCAGUGCCUGGCUUCUGUGAACAACAAUCAACGAUUCAUGACCAUUAGCAACAUUCAGCAAAAAGGUACGUUAAAAAAUGAGAACCAAAUGUUCGAAGUG